GUAAGGACACUUUUUAUGUGAUUCCCAUUUUUAGUGCGCAUGCGAUUUUCAACUAGGAAUGUGAUUGCCUUCAGCAAGUUGAAAUUGCAGGUUAGGUUAGAUUAAGUUAGCUCUCCUUUCCAUAAAAUAUAAUUAUCCCUUUCGCCUACAAUAUUAUGUGAUCUUCGUAAUGAGGAAAUCGGACCAAACAUGAGUAUCACGGGUGAGAGGCGUGAAAAAUCAUUCUAUAACUUUAUAAAAAUUCAAAUUUAUGAGCGCCUUUCCAAUCCACAACAUGACGGCGAAUCAUGUGACUUGAGACCUACUACAUCAAAGGUGCCGACGCUCGUGUCUAUACUGUAUGUACUUAUACUGUGGCUAUAGCCUUGCGAAACGAGAAAUAGAGAAACGACAGAGAGCUAAUUUUAGAGAGAGACUUUCAAACUGAGCACACCAUGUAAUCCUUUCACCAUGUGAUGUAAUGUAUAAAAAUUUUCAGUGUUAAGAGCA